AGAAAUUGAGUUUAACAGAAUAUUAGGUUGUCAUCCUAAAGGGACUUUUUAAGUAGUUUCUU
rnacentral:tRNA from 1 species